UGCCAGCAGCCGCGGUAAUACGGGAGCGGCAAGCGUUAUCCGGAAUUAUUGGGCGUAAGGCGCGCGUAGGUGGUUUGAUAAGCUAGCUGUGAAAGCCCCGGGCUCAACCUGGGAACUGCAGUUAGAACUGUCUGACUAGAGUACAGUAGAGGGUGGCGGAAUUUCCUGUGUAGCGGUGAAAUGCGUAGAUAUAGGAAGGAACAUCAGUGGCGAAGGCGGCCACCUGGACUGAUACUGACACUGAGGUGCGAAAGCGUGGGGAGCAAACAGGAUUAGAUA
rnacentral:rRNA from 1 species